rnacentral:rRNA from 1 species
UACGUAGGGGGCAAGCGUUGUCCGGAAUCAUUGGGCGUAAAGAGCGUGUAGGCGGCCCGAUAAGUCCGCUGUGAAAGUCCAGGGCUCAACCCUGGAAUGCCGGUGGAUACUGUCGGGCUCGAGUCCGGAAGAGGCGAGUGGAAUUCCUGGUGUAGCGGUGAAAUGCGCAGAUAUCAGGAGGAACACCAAUGGCGAAGGCAGCUCGCUGGGACGGUACUGACGCUGAGGCACGAAAGCGUGGGGAGCAAACAGG